AUACGGAAGGUGCAAGCGUUAAUCGGAAUCACUGGGCGUAAAGCGCGCGUAGGCCGCCUUUUAAGUCGGACGUGAAAGCCCUCGGCUCAACCGAGGAACUGCGUUCGAAACUGGGAGGCUUGAGUCCGGGAGAGGGUAGUGGAAUUCCAGGUGUAGGAGUGAAAUCCGUAGAGAUCUGGAGGAACACCAGUGGCGAAGGCGACUACCUGGACCGAUACUGACACUGAGGAGCGAAAGCGUGGGGAGC
rnacentral:rRNA from 1 species